rnacentral:lncRNA from 1 species
UCACCAAUUUCUUCAACAAAAUGGGCCAGAAAAUACCCAGGGGGACAGCACCAGGCCUUGGCUAAACUCCAGGCUGAUCUGCAGAAGGGCAGGAAAAAAUUGCCUUCCAGAUGAAAUAUGUGGCAAGAAGAGCUAUAUUUCCAAACAAUUUCAGAGAAAUAAUUUUGUAAGUUAUUUGUCACUCUGCUGCACAAAAUGAUCAGACACACUGUCCAAUCAACACCAAACCAGAAACUAACAGAUGCUUGGCAGUAAAGAAGGGUGUUGGAGGAUGUCAGAGGUGCUUCAGAAAAGCCUGCUGGUGACUAGAAAUAUCUUCACUUUCUGUUAGCAUGCACGUAGCAUGCCCACAGCCACCUGAAUUCUGACUGUAUUACAUCAUGAGGCAUGAGAUGUGCUCCAACAUGUGCUGGCAGGAGCAGUUGGAGAAGACUGGCUACAGAAGCUCAUCAAGAAAUGCAAAAGGCAUGACCUGCUAUCUAAGGUAUCAGUGAGAGCUUCCUUUCUGAAGAGUUUUUUUUUUUUUUUUUCCUUUAAUGCUCAUUAUUUCUGAA